rnacentral:rRNA from 1 species
UACGAGGGGAGCUAGCGUUGUUCGGAAUUACUGGGCGUAAAGCGCGCGUAGGCGGCUUUGUAAGUUAGAGGUGAAAGCCCGGAGCUCAACUCCGGAACUGCCUUUAAGACUGCAUCGCUUGAAUCCGGGAGAGGUGAGUGGAAUUCCGAGUGUAGAGGUGAAAUUCGUAGAUAUUCGGAAGAACACCAGUGGCGAAGGCGGCUCACUGGACCGGCAUUGACGCUCAUGCACGACAGCGUGGGGAUCAAACAGG